GACGAACGCUGGCGGCGUGCUUAACACAUGCAAGUCGAACGGAAAGGCCCUGCUUUUGUGGGGUGCUCGAGUGGCGAACGGGUGAGUAACACGUGAGUAACCUGCCCUUGACUUUGGGAUAACUUCAGGAAACUGGGGCUAAUACCGGAUAGGAGCUCCUGCUGCAUGGUGGGGGUUGGAAAGUUUCGGCGGUUGGGGAUGGACUCGCGGCUUAUCAGCUUGUUGGUGGGGUAGUGGCUUACCAAGGCUUUGACGGGUAGCCGGCCUGAGAGGGUGACCGGCAAAAUGGGGACUGAGAUACGGCCCAGACUCCUACGGGAGGCAGAAGGGGGGAAUAUGGAACAAGGGGCGGAGGCCGGAUGCAGCAACGCGGCGUGCGGGAUGACGGCCUUCGGGUUGUAAACCGCUUUCGCCUGUGACGAAGCGUGAGUGACGGUAAUGGGUAAAGAAGCACCGGCUAACUACGG
rnacentral:rRNA from 1 species